GAACGGGUGAGUAACACGUGGGCAACCUGCCCAAANAGGGGAGUAACACUUGGAAACAGGUGCUAAUACCGCAUAACCAUAGUUACCGCAUGGUAACUAUGUAAAAGGUGGCUAUGCUACCGCUUUUGGAUGGGCCCGCGGCGCAUUAGCUAGUUGGUGGGGUAAAGGCUUACCAAGGCAAUGAUGCGUAGCCGAACUGAGAGGUUGAUCGGCCACAUUGGGACUGAGACACGGCCCAAACUCCUACGGGAGGCAGCAG
rnacentral:rRNA from 1 species